AGCGAACGCUGGCGGCAGGCCUAACACAUGCAAGUCGAAUGAAGUCUUCGGACUUAGUGGCGGACGGGUGAGUAACACGUGGGAACGUACCUUUUGGUUCGGAACAACUCAGGGAAACUUGAGCUAAUACCGGAUGAGCCCUUAGGGGGAAAGAUUUAUCGCCGAAAGAGCGGCCCGCGUUAGAUUAGCUAGUUGGUGAGGUAAAGGCUCACCAAGGCUACGAUCUAUAGCUGGUCUGAGAGGACGGCCAGCCACAAUGGCACUGAAACACGGGCCAUACUCCUACGGGAGGCAGCAGUGGGGAAUUUUGCGCAAUGGGCGAGAGCCUGACGCAGCAACGCCGCGUGAAGGACGAAAUCCUUCGGGAUGUAAACUUCGCAAAUAUGGGAAGAAAUCAAUGACGGUACCAUAUGUAAGCCCCGGCUAACUCCGUGCCAGCCGCCGCAGUAACAC
rnacentral:rRNA from 1 species